ACAUUUGCUAGUACCCCACUCAGGAAGCAAAGUUUUUAUUUAGAGUUUGGUUUCUUCCGGCGGAGCCCACCCCCCCGGGGCGGGCAGAAGGGUCCAGGGAGAUCCCCCCGGCCGCAGCUACAAUAAAAGGUAUGUUCUACGCCGGGUCAAAGAGUUCCAAAUUUGUACUGAUCUUCCCUUAGGGGUAACCUGCGGAGGGAUCAUUACUGAGUUUACGCUCUAUAACCCUUUGUGAACAUACCUAUAACUGUUGCUUCGGCGGGUAGGGUCUCCGUGACCCUCCCGGCCUCCCGCCCCCGGGCGGGUCGGCGCCCGCCGGAGGAUAACCAAACUCUGAUUUAACGACGUUUCUUCUGAGUGGUACAAGCAAAUAAUCAAAACUUUUAACAACGGAUCUCUUGGUUCUGGCAUCGAUGAAGAACGCAGCGAAAUGCGAUAAGUAAUGUGAAUUGCAGAAUUCAGUGAAUCAUCGAAUCUUUGAACGCACAUUGCGCCCGCCAGCAUUCUGGCGGGCAUGCCUGUUCGAGCGUCAUUUCAACCCUCAAGCUCUGCUUGGUGUUGGGGCCCUACAGCUGAUGUAGGCCCUCAAAGGUAGUGGCGGACCCUCCCGGAGCCUCCUUGCGUAGUAACUUUACGUCUCGCACUGGGAUCCGGAGGGACUCUGCCGUAAAACCCCCAAUUUCCAAAGGUGACCUCGGAUCAUGCUGCAUGCCGCUCAC
rnacentral:rRNA from 1 species